rnacentral:rRNA from 1 species
CCUACGGGGGGCUGCAGUAGGGAAUAUUGGGCAAUGGGCGCAAGCCUGACCCAGCGACGCCGCGUGAGGGAUGAAGGUCUUCGGAUUGUAAACCUCUUUCAGUAGGGAAGAAGCGAAAGUGACGGUACCUAAAGAAGAAGCACCGGCUAACUAUGUGCCAGCAGCCGCGGUAAUACAUAGGGUGCAAGCGUUGUCCGGAAUUAUUGGGCGUAAAGAGCUCGUAGGUCGUUUGUCGCGUCGAUUGUGAAAAUCUGAGGCUCAACCUCAGACCUGCAGUCGAUACGGGCAAACUAGAGUGUGGUAGGGGAGACUGGAAUUCCUGGUGUAGCGGUGGAAUGCGCAGAUAUCAGGAGGAACACCAAUGGCGAAGGCAGGUCUCUGGGCCAUAACUGACACUGAGGAGCGAAAGUGCGGGGAGCGAACAGGAUUA